rnacentral:rRNA from 1 species
AUUAGUUUUUUAAUUGAAGGCUAGAAUGAAUGGUUGGACAAGAAAUAAUCUGUCUUAAAUUAGUAUAUUGAAUUUAACUUUUAAGUGAAAAGGCUUGAAUAAUCUAAGGGGACGAUAAGACCCUAUAAAACUUUAUAUUUUAAAGUGGAAGUUAAUUUUAUUUUAAGAUUACUAUUUUAAAUUAUUUUGUUGGGGCGACAAAAAUAUAAGAAAGGGUAACUGUUUUUUAUUUUUACAAUAAUAUUUGAAUUAUUGAUCCUAAAAGGGAUUAAAGAUUAAGUUACUUUAGGGAUAACAGCGUAAUUUUUUUUUAGAGUUCCCAUCGACAAAAAAGUUUGCGACCUCGAUGUUGAAUUAAAAGUUCUUUAUAGAGUAGAGACUAUAAAAGAAGGUCUGUUCGACCUUUAAAAUUUUACAUGAUUUGAGUUCAGACCGG